rnacentral:rRNA from 1 species
GACGAACGCUGGCGGCGUGCUUAACACAUGCAAGUCGAACGGAAAGGCCCUGCUUGCAGGGUACUCGAGUGGCGAACGGGUGAGUAACACGUGGGUGAUCUGCCCUGCACUUCGGGAUAAGCCUGGGAAACUGGGUCUAAUACCGGACAGGAGCCAUUUUUAGUGUGAUGGUUGGAAAGUUUUUUCGGUGUAGGAUGAGCUCGCGGCCUAUCAGCUUGCUGGUGGGGUAAUGGCCUACCAAGGCGGCGACGGGUAGCCGGCCUGAGGGGGUGGACGGCCACAUUGGGACUGAGAUACGGCCCAGACUCCGACGGGAGGCAGCAGUGGGGAAUAUUGCACAAUGGGCGCAAGCCUGAUGCAGCGACGCCGCGUGGGGGAUGACGGCCUUCGGGUUGUAAACUCCUUUCGCUAGGGACGAAGCUUUUUGUGACGGUACCUAGAUAAGAAGCACCGGCUAACUACGUG